rnacentral:rRNA from 1 species
AGCGAACGCUGGCGGCAGGCCUAACACAUGCAAGUCGAACGAACCCUUCGGGGUUAGUGGCGGACGGGUGAGUAACACGUGGGAACGUGCCUUUAGGUUCGGAAUAACUCAGGGAAACUUGUGCUAAUACCGAAUGUGCCCUUCGGGGGAAAGAUUUAUCGCCUUUAGAGCGGCCCGCGUCUGAUUAGCUAGUUGGUGAGGUAAUGGCUCACAAAGGCUACGAUGAACAGCUGGUCUGAGAGGAUGCCCAGCCACAUUGGGACUGAGAAACGGCCCAAAUUCCUACGGGAGGCAGCAGUGGGGAAUCUUGCGCAAUUGGCGAAAGCCUGACGCAGCCAUGCCGCGUGGAUGAUGAAGGUCUUAGGAUUGUAAAAUCCUUUCACCGGUGAAGAUAAUGACUGUAGCCGGAGAAGAAGCCCCGGCUAACUUCGUGCCAGCCGCCGCAGUAAGAC